rnacentral:rRNA from 1 species
UACAGAGGGGGCAAGCGUUGUUCGGAAUUACUGGGCGUAAAGGGCGCGUAGGCGGCGACUCUAGUCAGAUGUGAAAGUCCUGGGCUUAACCUGGGGACUGCAUUUGAUACUGGGUUGCUUGAAUUCGGGAGAGGAUAGCGGAAUUCCCAGUGUAGAGGUGAAAUUCGUAGAUAUUGGGAAGAACACCGGUGGCGAAGGCGGCAUCCUGGACCAACACUGACACUGAGGAGCGAAAGCCAGGGGAGCAAACGGG